rnacentral:rRNA from 1 species
CAAUAGCGUAUAUUAAAGUUGUUGCAGUUAAAAAGCUCGUAGUUGGAUUUGUGGCGUACGGUGGGUUCCGGGCACUUGUUGUCUGAGUAACUUGCUGUUGCCAUCCUUGGGUGGAACCUGUGUGGCAUUAGGUUGUCGUGCAGGGGAUGCCCAUCAUUUACUGUGAAAAAAUUAGAGUGUUCAAAGCAGGCUUAUGCCGUUGAAUAUAUUAGCAUGGAAUAAUGAGAUAGGACUUUUUUGCUAUUUUGUUGGUUUGCGCAAAGAGGUAAUGAUUAAUAGGGACAGUUGGGGGUAUUCGUAUUCCAUUGUCAGAGGUGAAGUUCUUGGAUUUUCGGAAGACGAACUACUGCGAAAGCAUUUACCAAGGAUGUUUUCAUUAA